rnacentral:rRNA from 1 species
AGAGUUUGAUCAUGGCUCAGAACGAACGCUGGCGGCGCGCCUAAUACAUGCAAGUCGAGCGAGAAGGUGUAGCAAUACACUUGUAAAGCGGCGAACGGGUGAGGAAUACAUGGGUAAUCUACCAUCGAGUGGGGAAUAACCAGCCGAAAGGUUGGCUAAUACCGCGUACGCCUCCGGAUUUUCGGAUUCGGAGGGAAAGCCGUGCUGUGAGUACGGCGCUCUUUGAUGAGCUCAUGUCCUAUCAGCUUGUUGGUAGGGUAACGGCCUACCAAGGCUUUGACGGGUAGCUGGUCUGAGAGGACGAUCAGCCACACUGGCACUGCGACACGGGCCAGACUCCUACGGGAGGCAGCAGUAAGGAAUAUUGCGCAAUGGGCGAAAGCCUGACGCAGCGACGCCGCGUGGGGGAUGAAGGUCUUCGGAUUGUAAACCCCUUUCGGGAGGGAAGAUGGAAUGGGGUAACCCAUUCGGACGGUACCUCCAGAAGCAGCCACGGCUAACUUCGUGCCAGCCGCCGCGGUAAUAC